rnacentral:RNase_P_RNA from 1 species
ACACUGGCGCGGCUUGUCGCUGGCGCUGCUGAAAGGCAGGGCGAGAGGAAAGUCCGGGCAGCACAGGACACCCCACUUCUGAAAGUGGAAGCUAUUGGCAACAGUAGGAUAAGGCAGAAGAAAACUACCGCCCCGACACACUCACACAAGUGCGAAAGGGUAAGGGUGAGAAGGUGGUGUAAGAGACCACCAGCCGCCGGGCGAUCGGCGGGCUGUGCCUUCUGGGGGCUGCAAGUUCAUGUAUACCAUCGUAAAAAGGGUUGUCCGCCCAAAGCAUAUUGCUGCGAUGGAGGGUAGAACGCUAAAGCCGUGUGGUGACAUACGGAUUAGAUAAAUGACAGGCACGCUGAAGGCAACAACAGCGCACAGAACCCGGCUUAUAGCGGCAGUGUUCCU